rnacentral:rRNA from 1 species
AACGAACGCUGGCGGCAGGCCUAACACAUGCAAGUCGAGCGCGCCCUUCGGGGUGAGCGGCGGACGGGUGAGUAACGCGUGGGAACGUGCCCUUUGCUACGGAAUAGUCUCGGGAAACUGGGGGUAAUACCGUAUGAGCCCUUCGGGGGAAAGAUUUAUCGGCAAAGGAUCGGCCCGCGUUGGAUUAGGUAGUUGGUGGGGUAAUGGCUCACCAAGCCGACGAUCCAUAGCUGGUUUGAGAGGAUGAUCAGCCACACUGGGACUGAGACACGGCCCAGACUCCUACGGGAGGCAGCAGUGGGGAAUCUUAGACAAUGGGCGCAAGCCUGAUCUAGCCAUGCCGCGUGAGCGAUGAAGGCCUUAGGGUUGUAAAGCUCUUUCGUGGGGGAAGAUAAUGACUGUACCCCAAGAAGAAGCCCCGGCCAACUCCGUGCCAGCAGCCGCGGUAAU